CAGGACAUAAUUUAUUGAGAAUACUGGCUUUGGGGGCCAGAGGGAAGGGUGGAAUUCCCUUUGUCCUGA
rnacentral:tRNA from 1 species